rnacentral:rRNA from 1 species
AUUGAACGCUGGCGGCAGGCUUAACACAUGCAAGUCGAGCGGAGAUGAGGUGCUUGUACCUUAUCUUAGCGGCGGACGGGUGAGUAAUGCUUAGGAAUCUGCCUAUUAGUGGGGGACAACAUUCCGAAAGGAAUGCUAAUACCGCAUACGUCCUACGGGAGAAAGCAGGGGAUCUUCGGACCUUGCGCUAAUAGAUGAGCCUAAGUCGGAUUAGCUAGUUGGUGGGGUAAAGGCCUACCAAGGCGACGAUCUGUAGCGGGUCUGAGAGGAUGAUCCGCCACACUGGGACCGAGACACGGCCCAGACUCCUACGGGAGGCAGCAGUGGGGAAUAUUGGACAAUGGGGGGAACCCUGAUCCAGCCAUGCCGCGUGUGUGAAGAAGGCCUUAUGGUUGUAAAGCACUUUAAGCGAGGAGGAGGCUACUGAGACUAAUACUCUUGGAUAGUGGACGUUACUCGCAGAAUAAGCACCGGCUAACUCUGUGCCAGCCGCCGCCGUAAUAC